UUUUUGCAGGACAAGGCUUUGACUAGGAUCAGGUUAUCAAGGAUGGUAAGGGAAUUAGGACAAUGCAAAUUCACAAAUAAAACUCUAUGGCACAGGCAAAUCUAGCUCCAGAAAAUAUCCAUCUACGUAACUAGUAACAGAAUCCAGAAGAGAAUAUUAUGUACUAUGAAGACAGUACAAGCAUUUUUCAUCUUCUCCCAGAGAAAGGAGAUGUAUUAAUAGGUCUUCUUUCCUGUUGAUUACCAGUUUGGCUCCAAUAGUAUCAGUGUCUGGGUUGUAUGACUGGUUUCUUAUCAUGAUUUAGUGAUUUGCUUAGCUCUUUCCUCCCUUUCUCCUGUAAUUUAACUUUUGUCUUCACUUGCAGAACAUCAAGUGCUUUCAUCUGCUCCCACUGAUAUCACUGAAUGAUAUAUUUUUGUGUUCCCAAUGCCUUUUCUGGUGCUUUUUUCAUAGAAGUUAACUGAAGAAAUGUCUCAUCUUUAAAAAAAAACAAUUCAGUGCAAGUAAAUAAAGUGAGAAAAGGAAAAAAAGUAGGGAUAAAUAAGAUGGAGCCAGGGAUAGGAC
rnacentral:lncRNA from 1 species